rnacentral:tRNA from 1 species
GGCCCCGGUGGGGCGGGGGCCCGAGUGCUGCAGACGCUCCGGUCCGGCAAGGUGUCCCGGCGCGGGCCGGGCGGGGACGC